rnacentral:rRNA from 1 species
UACGUAGGGUCCGAGCGUUGUCCGGAAUUAUUGGGCGUAAAGGGCUCGUAGGCGGUCUGUCGCGUCGGGAGUGAAAACUUACAGCUUAACUGUGAGCGUGCUUUCGAUACGGGCAGACUUGAGGCAUUCAGGGGAGAACGGAAUCCUGGUGUAGCGGUGAAAUGCGCAGAUAUCAGGAGGAACACCGGUGGCGAAGGCGGUUCUCUGGGAAUCGUACUGACGCUGAGGAGCGAAAGUGUGGGGAGGCAAACAGGG